rnacentral:tRNA from 1 species
GUCUUUGUAGUGAAAAUAUUAUCACCUUACCUUUUCAAGGUAAAAUUGAACGUGUGUUCUAAAGAUA